rnacentral:rRNA from 1 species
CCUACGGGAGGCAGCAGUGGGGAAUAUUGCACAAUGGGCGAAAGCCUGAUGCAGCAACGCCGCGUGAAGGAAGAAGGCCUUCGGGUCGUAAACUUCUGUCCUUGGGGAAGAAGAACUGACGGUACCCAAGGAGGAAGCCCCGGCUAACUACGUGCCAGCAGCCGCGGUAAUACGUAGGGGGCAAGCGUUAUCCGGAAUUAUUGGGCGAAAAGAGUACGUAGGUGGCAACCUAAGCGCAGGGUUUAAGGCAAUGGCUCAACCAUUGUUCGCCCUGCGAACUGGGAUGCUUGAGUGCAGGAGAGGAAAGCGGAAUUCCUAGUGUAGCGGUGAAAUGCAUAGAUAUCACACAGAACACCGAUUGCGAAGGCAUCUCACGAAUCCGCGAUUGACGCUGAUGCACGAAAGCGUGGGUAUCAAACAGGAUUAGAUACCCCAGUAGUC